GAACUCGAUUCCGAUUACCGCAGGUCUCUCGGACUAGUUGAGAGGAUCAUUGUCGUUCCAGGUGCAUGUGGUUCGUCCGAUAGAUCGUAGCGUGGCGAAAGCACCGGAGCAGUCUCAGGAAUUACAAUGCGCCUGUAAAACCGGCUAGGCUUCCGACAUAGACGCGGUGGUCUGUCCCCCGAGUGCCAUUCUUCUGGAUCUGAUGCAGCGCAAUGUUCUUUUGCGUCUGCCGACGGGCGAGCUCGGUCAACGUAAUACAACUGCUUCGAAUUGAGGCUACCAUAUCUUCUGCUAGAGCGGAACAUGUUCCCUCGGGAAUGUGAACAACAACCGGCCUGGCCUCUGGAUCUGGAGAUCCAUGAGAGUUAAUGGGCCGACAACAUCCCGCGAGGUUAUAAUAGUGGUCCCGAAAUCGAGAAGGCUGGGCCAGCGGACACAGCACUGACUACGGGGUGAAAUUAUACAUUUCAUGUAUUCCACAGCACCCUGAUAGCCCAAAUCCUCUGUUGAUAAAAACAGGACUCCCAUCCGAGUCAGUGGAGAUAUAUCGGGUGCUGCUUUCCAUCGGCCAGCCCACGCACUGCUCUUGGGUAACGCAUUUGCGACACGAGCGAUGUCUGCCAUAGCCUCGGGAGAAUAGCGCAACACCUCUUGCCAUGGUUCGGGGAUUCUGGCAAACUCUACUAGUUCCACAAAUGCCCCGUUGGGGCAGUAUGCGUUCAGAACAGAUUGGGGAGGGGUUUGACCGAUCACCGUUCCAACCGGGAAUUGCCUGAAUGCGGCACGGUCCCGACGUCCCCGUGGGCCUACUAAGGCCCCGGUCAUAAUAUCGACGGGAACUGGGCCAUGGGAUGUGUUGAAUCUGUGGAUAGCUUCUACUAUCUCUGGACUAUCCGUCAUAGGGGGACGUGUCCGCAAGGCCAGAGGAGGAUGUCACCUGAAUAUCAUUGCGUUGGACGGCUCGGCCGGACUUGGGAGGACGCCCACGUGGGCGUCCUCCCCCACGCCUGUUUGCGGUUUCUUGGGGUAAGUAGUCCUCAUCUUCCAGUUUACGCGUUCGGGGCGAUGUUUUUCUCCCCUUAGACUGCGGUCCGGAUCGCCCACCACGAUUACUACCUCUGCCCCGACGCGGGCGGCUCGAACAAUCAGCCCGCGGUCUGGGGGGCGACGGAGAUGGUGACCUAGAUGAUGAAGGUGAAGACGGGACGAUUAGAGAAGAUGAUGACGGUGAGGAUGAUGAAGAGGAGGAAGAUGAAGAGGAUGGCGAUCUGGAAACAUGUCCGACGUUCCGUCUCAGGGCCGCGUGGUCUGGGGGAACUUCGUGGAGAUGAGGUUGUGUGAGGCAGUUCGCUCAUUCUGCCAGAAGAUGGAGUAGUCAGCCGUGGACCUGAGGUGAGUGGUGCAGCUCAACUCUAGCUUCGCGAAUGGCCGCGGAGAGCGCAGGAGGCAGCGUGGUAGAUGGUUGUGGCAUCUCAAAAGUAACUUCGCAGCCAGGCAUUUAAAGUCUUUCCAUGCCAAACCGGUCCAGGGAUUGGUGCUUCCAUCUCGGCCGUCCACCCAGGUAAUCUCGGGCAAUGGGAACAGCAAUCACUUUCGAAUUCCUUCAGCCCAAAGCACAACCGCGGGUCCACCGGGACUCUCCGACAUAGCUCGAGCCAAAAGGGAAUUGUAGCCCAGGAAGGGCGGUGCAUAUCUGCAAGUAAACAAAACUCGGGGUUCUGUACGAUUGGCCGGGGUCUUACAUGCUCGCCGAAUUGGAUUUGAGAAUCAAUCUUCCGACGGGUCUCCUGACUUGAACAGGGGAAAGGGGGAGGGGGAGUGUGUUAUCUUGUCGCGAACCAAUAA
rnacentral:sRNA from 1 species